AACAGGAUGGCUAAAAGUAAUGUUAGUAUACCCUGACUGCUGAUGUGUCCUCUUCUCUGAAC
rnacentral:snoRNA from 1 species